UGGUGGGUUGCCUUGUCAGGUUGAUUCCGGUAACGAACGAGACCUCAGCCUGCUAAAUAGUCGCAUCCUCCUCGGGGGAUGUCUGGCUUCUUAGAGGGACUAUUGACGUUUAGUCAAUGGAAGUAUGAGGCAAUAACA
rnacentral:rRNA from 1 species